UAGGCGUAAAUGAUGCGAGUUAAGUGUGGGGGCAUCUACGAGAUGGCCCUGUGCUGUAGGGUAGCCGUUAAACUCGCUGCCUGGGGAGUACGGUCGCAAGGCUGAACUUAAGGAUUGGCGGGGGAGCACCACAAGAGGUGGAGGCUGCGGUUCAAUUGGAUUCAACGCCGGACAUCUCACCAGGGGGCGACAGCAGAAUGAUGGCCAGGUUGAUGACCUUGCUUGACAAGCUGAGAGGAGGUGCAUGGCGUAGUCGUGU
rnacentral:rRNA from 1 species